rnacentral:rRNA from 1 species
GUCUACAGCCGUGCCACCCUCAACAAGCCUGAUCUCGUCUGAGACAUCUCGGAAGCUAAGCAGGGUUGGGCCUGGUGGGUACUUGGAUGGGAGACCACCUAGGAAGAUCAGGUGCUGUAGGAG